AUUGAACGCUGGCGGCAUGCCUUACACAUGCAAGUCGAACGGUAACAGGUCUUCGGAUGCUGACGAGUGGCGAACGGGUGAGUAAUACAUCGGAACGUGCCCGAUCGUGGGGGAUAACGAGGCGAAAGCUUUUCUAAUACCGCAUACGAUCUACGGAUGACAGCGGGGGAUCUUCGGACCUCGCGCGGCCGGAGCGGCCGAUGGCAGAUUAGGUAGUUGGUGGGAUAAAAGCUUACCAAGCCGACGAUCUGUAGCUGGUCUGAGAGGAUGAUCAGCCACACUGGGACUGAGACACGGCCCAGACUCCUACGGGAGGCAGCAGUGGGGAAUGUUGGACAAUGGGCGAAAGCCUGAUCCAGCCAUGCCGCGUGCAGGAUGAAGGCCUUUGGGUUGUAAACUGCUUUUGUACGGAACGAAAAGCCUCUUUCUAAUAAAGAGGGGUCAUGACGGUACCGUAAGAAUAAGCACCGGCUAACUACGUG
rnacentral:rRNA from 1 species